rnacentral:rRNA from 1 species
GACGAACGCUGGCGGCGUGCUUAACACAUGCAAGUCGAACGGUGAAGCGCCUUCCUUUUUGGUUGGUGGGGAUGAGUGGCGAACGGGUGAGUAACACGUGAGUAACCUGCCCCCUUCUUCUGGAUAACCGCAUGAAAGUGUGGCUAAUACGGGAUAUUCUGCGUCUGUCGCAUGAUGGGUCUGGGACGGAUAUUGUUUCGGUGGGGGAUGGGCGCGCGGCCUAUCAGCUUGUUGGUGCGGUGAGGGCCUACCAGGGGUGUGGCGGGUAGCCGGCCUGGGCGGGUGGCCGGCCACAGUGGGAGUGAGACACGGCCCAGACUGCGAUGGGGGGCAGCAGCGUAGGAGAUGGAGCAGUGGGGGAAAGUCUGAUGCAGGGGGGCCGCGUGAGCGACGGAGGCGUGUGCGGUGUGAACCUCUUUCGCUAGUGAAGCGGGCCUGCCUGGUUUGUGGGUGGGUUGACGGUAGCUGGAUAAGAAGCGCCGGCUAACUACGUG